rnacentral:rRNA from 1 species
GAUCAUGGCUCAGAUUGAACGCUGGCGGCAUGCUUUACACAUGCAAGUCGAACGGCAGUAUAGAGAGCUUGCUCUCUGAUGGCGAGUGGCGAACGGGUGAGUAAUACAUCGGAACGUGUCCGUUUGUGGGGGACAACCACCCGAAAGGGUGGCUAAUACCGCAUAAGACCUGAGGGUGAAAGCCGGGGACCGCAAGGCCUGGCGCGAACGGAGCGGCCGAUGACUGAUUAGCUGGUUGG